UACGGGGGGGGCAAGCGUUGUUCGGAAUUACUGGGCGUAAAGGGCGCGUAGGCGGUUUGCUAAGUUGGAUGUGAAAACUCUGGGCUUAACCCAGAGCCUGCAUCCAAAACUAGCAGGCUAGAGUUCUGGAGGGGAUAGCGGAAUUCCUGGUGUAGCGGUGAAAUGCGCAGAUAUCAGGAGGAACACCGAUGGCGAAGGCAGGUCUCUGGGCAUUAACUGACGCUGAGGAGCGAAAGCAUGGGGAGCGAACAGG
rnacentral:rRNA from 1 species